rnacentral:lncRNA from 1 species
GAAGUAGGUGGUGACCCAGGACCAUUAGCAAGAUUUACAGAUGACUCCGAUUCACUUCCAUCAGGAUAGUCAUCAUCUUCAGUUUUCUGGGCCGAUGAAUGUGUGCGGGUUACAAAUGCUUCCGGGGGCUUGUGAUAAACAGAAGAUAGUGUAGCAAUAUUGACAAGAAGCUCGUCAAGUAGAGAAGGAUCAAGGUUGUUGGAGUCAUCAGUUAUGACAGGCUUCUCAGCUAACACAACAUCCUUAGCUGCCUGGGGAAGACAAGCUAGGUACAUCAAAUGUGAGGCGCAGAAUUUAUGUCUUAACACACACAAAACAACUUGAGAAAGAGAAAAAGUUCUUAUUUGUGCGGCUAGACAAAUGAAACUAUAUUAGUGUGCUGUACCCUAACACUUAGAGAAUGUAAAACAUGUUAAGAACUUGUCUGUAAAAAGUUAAGUUAAUAAAAUCAAUCUUGUUAUACAAUCUAUAGCAGGUGUCCACCUCAACUAAUUAGCUAAAUGUUGGUAUGAUUGUGGACCGAAGAACUCUAGUUCAAGAAAUCAAACCUCUGGAUCAGUUGAGAGGAGACGCCAAUAUAUAUAUGCACGAUCUCGCAAAUCAGGAUUAUCUGUCUCCAUAGUGGCAUUGUUCAAAACAACCUGUAAUGAUUAGCUAUCAUGUGAAACUUAACAUCAAAGGAUCUAAAGAAUGUAAAUUAACGUAUCAAACAGCUACAAAUAUUUUUAAGAAACAAUAUAAAGAAGACUCUGGAAACAGAUAGAUAAUUAACGAUAGAAUGCAAUAUUUGUCUUUCAGAUUUGGUUCCAAUAAUUUUAGGAAUUGUUCUAAAUAUAAGCUUAAAAUUACUACGUUUCUAUUUUCCCUUCGGAAAAACAAAAGUAUCAAAAGAUCAUAUCUUGCAGAAAAACAAAUUCUGUGAAUAUGUUAUUAUAAAUUAAAAACAAUAAAUUUUGUAAAAUACCAAAAGUACACAAUUAUUAGACCGUGUGAAAAAACUGCUUAUAUAGACCACUUGAAGAAACAGGGAAAAGAAGGAACAUGUUUACAUACUUAGCAAAAGGGUUGUCCAAUUCGAUUUCGGUAGAAAAAGAUUGUUAUAUCUUCAAGUUAACCUAUCUAUAAUUCAUGAACAGGAUUCUGAGGAGAAUCUAGGGUAGAGGAAUCCUAACAACAGAAAUAGUACCAGAGAUAUCCAUUUGGAAUUUGAAUAAAAUAACAUUAAAACAAAUAAUGUGUUAUGAGGCAGGACCUGAAUCAUCUGCUGUGGGCCCUCAGUUGGCUUCUUAAGGAAAAGUUUGACAGUAGCAGUCAGCAAUUGUAGUUGGACAAGUGCAGGUUCUUCAGGGAAACUUUCCAAGAAACUUUCAAGAAGCUCGUCAGCAUUGUCAAUUCUUUCCGCAUAUUCACCAAUUAUCCAAAUCAUUGAUGCCUAUCCACAUAGGAAAGUGGACAAAAAGGUAAAAGCAUGAUAAUGUAAAAUGUCAAUUACAAGAGCACUCGGAAAACAAAUACCUUGGCUUCGGGCUCAUCCAAGGUGUCUAAGCUCUCACAAAGAGUUGCAAUUAUGGACUCAUAUCUGCAAAAUGAAACAAGUGUUUGAAUGAAGUUUGAAAUAUAAUGCUAAUCCCCAACUUUUAUAUCUUAACCCCCCCCCCACCCCCCCCCACACACACACACACCACAGACAAGGAAAAGAUAACAAUACGUGUUGGGGUAUCGUCUAAAUAUGUCUUUGAUAACAAUGAUUGCCUCUUGAACCACAUAAUUUACUUUUAUCUUGAUCAACUCAAGCAAUACACUAAUGCAUCUUUCAGCUGCUCUCUCUAAUUUGAUGGCACAACGACCAAUAGCACGAACAGCCUUUCUAACAAAAUCUACGUCAACUUCAGUAGCAUAUUCCUUAAAUUCCAAUAAAACCUGCCAAUAUCAUAACCAAUAAAAAAUGACCCGUGAUUAAUAUGCCAUAGAUAGCAAAGCAGCAAGGAUUUAAAGUUUUACGAGAAUGAGAAAAAUUGUUCUGCCAAAAUUAAAUAUUUAUGCACAUAGUGAAAGUGCAGUUCUGCAGAGUUAAUAAAGGAAAGGUCAGUCUGUUAGGAUAAAGAAUAGAGGGGACUUAGAGUAGUUAGAAUUAGUAAGGGAACUUGACAUCUUGAAGGAGACUAAAUUAGAGAAAAAUAAUAAAAAGAUUCAUUACAUAAAUUAGAAAGUUUACGUAAAUGCAGAAAUCCUGUGUAAGGAAACCCUUGGUGGAGAAGCCUCUCUCCUAUUUCCGAUCAUUCAAUAAAGUUGUUAAUUUCUUUUCAUUUGUUUCAAUCAAUUUACCAACUCGAUUUAUCGGGUUCAUGACAAAGCCUCAUCAAAUGUAGCAGGAUAACUUGUUUUUUGAUAGAAGAUAUUUCAUUAGAGAGAAGAAAUAAAAAACAAAAUAAUAUAUCCUCCAAAGCAGAUAUAACUAAAGCAAGAACAGAGUUAAAAUGGCUAAUGAAUGAAUUUUAUCCAAGGGAUAUGAUAAAUGACCAAUACAUCUCCGGUCGUACAAAGGUUUAUGUAGUGUUCACUGAAAUCACCGGGGAGCUCACUUAUGAUAAAACAAACUGAAAAAAUGAGGAGGGGAGGAAAAUAUUAAACUGAAAGCUGUAUAAUGUAAAGCUUACCUGGUCUAUAUUUCGGUCUGAAGCAAGCUUUAUCAUAAUUUCUAAUUUCUCCAUUUUCACAUAGAUAGGAUCAUUGUAUUUGCAGAAGAACACCUACAGAUAGAGUGAGAGGUCCAAGUUCAUUUUGCCUUUAGAAUAAUAGAGGCCCUUAAUGUGGUGCCCAAGUUAAUAAGUUUACAACUCGGUGACAAGUUCACAACCAAAAAUUUAGAUUGAUACCUUAAUUUCAUGUGCAAGAAUUGUCGGUCUUCUUUGUACAAUAAGAUUGAUAUUUCGCAGGGCAACAUAUUGUAUCUCAGGUUCUGCUGAGAGUAAUGUCACAAGAGGAGGGGCCAUCUUUUUGCAAAGAUUCCGGACCACAUCAGUACUGGUGAUGAGCUCCAUUUGUUGAAGGAUCAUCUACAUGUCAUUACAAAUUGUGGUCAGUUAGCACACCAUGUAAAAUGUGAAUGCCGAUGCAUUAAUAUUGGCACAUGAUCUGCAAGAUAACAAGUUACAGGUGAGGGGGGUGGAAUCACCUUAACAGCCGAUAGUACAACUGCACAAUUGGCAUGCUGUAACCGUGGCGUAACUCUUUCUACAAUGUUCUCUGCCUCACGCGCAUCAGCAGCCUUGUAUCUAGAUAGAGCAUCCAAUAUAAAAACUUGACCCCAUCUGGUAAGAGAAAGUAAGUUGUGUUAAACAACAGGGUCAAAGGUGGCCAAGGAAAAGAAAGGAUGACGAAACCUGAAACAGGGCUCAUAAAUUACAAUUCUGCACAAUCAACUAGGCGUUCUACGCAAGUUGUGCUAUUUUGGUUACUAAUAUAUAUUCAGUUACUAAUAUAUAUUCAGUUACUGAUAUAUAUUACUCAUAGGUACAAUCUCUACAAAGGAUGUUUUAUAAACAUAUAUUUCCCUAAGGAUCUGUUUGCGAGUUGGUUUUUGGAGGGUUGUGUCUAUAUUUUCAAACUUGUUUGAUAUUCUUAAAAAGUUUUAAAAACAAUAUGAUUUAAUAUGCUAAUGUAUUAUAUUGUUUUUUAAACUUUUUAAAAAUAUCAAACACAUUUCAAAAUAUAGACACAACCCUCCAAAACCUUCUCCUCCAAAACCCUCCAAAAACCAACUCCCAAACAGGCCCUAAGGGAACAAAAUCAUCAUGAAAACCAGCUAUUAAGGAUCGAAAUCCACACCAACCCUAGCAACUUGCACCCCAUGCUUAGGUACGGGUAUGGUGUCCGGUAGGAGCACGUGUACUGAUACAGGAUGCAGCAUUUAUAAAAACAUCAAGGUACGGGUACGUCAAUAAAAAACAAGAGUUUAUUUAUAAAAUGUCUCAAAAGAGAACUAAAUUGUUCCACUUACAUCAAAACAUCAGAAUAAAAGUUUAAAAAGUAAAAAAUUGUGUUAAAUUACAAUAACGAAGAAACUAAAAUAUAUAAAUAAUAUUAUAAUAAUAUAUGAGAAACCCACAAAUUUUACUCGCAACUGAAUAAUGAGAAGAAAAAAAAAGUGCCACGAAUACGGUAAGUGUACCAGUACCGAAUACGUAACCGGUACGGGUACUUCACCAUUUUAGAAGUGCCCGUGCCUCAGGAGAAUAUUCUCUCUCAUUUGUAUCAUGGUUAUCAUAUUUCAAACACUGGGGCCGCCCUAGCAGGGUUUUGUUUUAAAUAACUACAAGCUGUUUAAUUUGAGGUCAAGGCAACUGUUUAGGGAGAGAAUACUGUAAGGUUUUUGUUAGUUACUCCCUCCAUUUCAAUUUGAGUUUUGUUAAAGGUUUCUUCAUGAGGAUUAAGAAAACCAAUAUGUGAAUUAAUUAGUGGAAUAGUUUAACUAAAUUGUCCUUAUAACUAUUGGAGUAUUGGUCAUUAUACUAUAAAUGCAUAGUGAAGACAGUAUUAAGGGAAAUAUUGGAAAGAAAAUCGUAAUGUUACAUUGAAAAGAUAAAAUGACACAUAAUAUGCAUUUUUUCAUUCUUUUUAGCGACAGUUUUUUGAAAAGGAAUGAGUAGUUGAAUAGGUUGUUGGUUAGAGAGUGAAUGAUUGUAAGCUAUAGAGGAAAGGAAGAUUUAGAGAGGACAUCAUUAAUUUUAGAGAUGAUUUUUGAGGGGGAGAGAACACGGUCACUCAAAUGCCUGGAACCUAAUAGAGUUUCUAUCAAUAAACACUUUUUUUUCUAUAUUUUGAAACAGGGCCUAUCAGAGGAGUUUCACUAUUAUUAAGUCAAAAUGGUUUCAAAUUUCAAUUAUAAGAACAAAACUAUAAAACACAAACUUACUCUGUACAUUCAUUUAACGCAGUGAGGAGCUUUGACAGUGUGUGGCUAGUGAUCUCAAAGAUGGGUCUACUGCUAUUGUCCUGAAUUUCAGCAAGUGCCGCGACAGCAUUAGCUACAACCAUUGGAUUAUUAUCAGAUAUCAAAUCCUUCAGUGAUUCCAAAAAUCCCCUGUCCUCAACUAACUCUGCAUUAAUGUCAUAGAGCUUUGCUACACAAAUGGCUGCUGUCUUGCGAACAUAUGGAUCAUCGUCCUGUCAAUGUAAAUCAAACACAAGUACAGUUUACAAAUAAUUAGGUGAGCCAAAAAACACAUGUCACCGUAACUAACACAAUAAGAAAUCAAACACAGUGGAUUUCAACCUAAAAAAUAGGCAUGUACAAAUUAUAAAAGUACAGUGUAUUCACCUUUAGACAUCUUUGAAGGGGAUCACACAGAUACUCGGUAAUUUUAUCCACACGAAUGCACCCCAUUGUCCGCACAGCUAAGGCACGAAUUAAAGGAUUUGGAUCUUGAGAAUCCUGAGCAGCAUUUCAUAAAAUCAAAAUUGUGUCAUACAACAUUCAACUUCAGAUCAACUGUCGUCGGUAAGAGUUGGGGAGCAAUAAGUUAUACUAAGAAAACUUUGGAGCAUAAAAUGGGGAGGAAAAAAAGACAUACUAUAUAAUCCCAAGAGCCUUGAAAGCAAUAAAUUAGUGAUAGCAAGGAAUAAAAAAAGAACUGAUACAUAGGCUGUGAAAGUAAGGAAAACAAACAGACGAAAAAUGGCUAUUCGAGCUUUCACCUUCACAAAUGUAUUUACUGCAAGUAUAGCAAGGUCAGGCUGGCUCUUUGCAUAAUUUAUCAAAUACAAGUAGACCAACUUUUUCAGCUCCAAAUUUUCUGUCUGCAUACAAUUCACCACGUCUGUGAACAACGACGACACAUCCUUUCCAACAGUCAUAGCAGCAAUCACUUUUUUCACCGCAUCUUUUCUCUUAUCCUGCAAAACAUAAAAGAAAUAUAAUCUACAUUCACACACCUUCUUACAUACGCAAUCUUCAACAACGGAAAAUGAAAAAGAGUCUACCAAAAAAGCAAGGCAAACAAAUAUCUCUAACAAAUUAAAAACCCCCAAACGAAAAUUACUAUUAAUAAUCAGUUCUUAAUCAGAACAUCAAUUAAUAACACCACCAUAUUAAUUUAAAUAUUCUUAAUGAAAUAGUACCAGAUAUGCUUUCUGCAUCACAGACACCUAUGAUAAAAUGUGUCAGUGGCAGUUUCAACACCAACACUUGUGAUUACUAUUAAUUUAUUUAUUUUUCAAAUUAUUACCCUUGUCGACGCCGUGUAUCUGGUGUCUGUGCUUCAUAAUAUGCUAAGCUAACAAGAAAAUUCAGAAAUAGGAAGCAUGAACGUGACAUAGCAAAGGACAAAAAGUUUCAAUAGGCUAUUAACGGAGUAACAAAAGCUUAAAUCUGAAUAAUUAUAUAUCUAAGAAUCAAUUCAAGACUAUUCUAAUCUACAUCAACAUUUGCAUAAUUCGUUCGGACAUUGAUUAUUCAUGCAUCCACGAAUCAAAAACAAUAGAAUCCUCCAGAUCAGGAAUACGGAGGAACAAAAACACGAAGGAACUGAAAUCGGAUCGAGAAAUGGAAAUUGUGAAAAGAGAGAAAGGGGAUCGGGGGAGAUCUGAAGAAAUGGAAAAGGAACCUUGUACUGAGAAUUAAGCUCUUCUUUGAGCUCAGGGAUUUCACCCUUCUUUGUUGUGGAAAAGUACUUGGAGUCGUUUCUACUCAUCUUUCUUGCGCCCUUCUUCUGCUUCUGGUUUUGCUCGAUUUAAAUGUCAAUGUCGAUGGGCGAUGCGGAGAAGGAGAACAUCGGUUCUGGAUUUGACGACUGUAAGAGAGAGGUCAAGAAACGGUGUCGUCUUAUUCACUGCUCACCAUAAUAUAAUCAUAAUAACUAAAUUUUUUUUUGUCUUAGAAAUUUAAAAUAUUAAUUUUUUUAUUAUUUUUGAAUGAAGAAAUAGUGAUUUUUUAUAAAAACAUCAGUGAUUAUUUACAUAUAAAAAACAUUAGUCAUUAUUUUAGAAAUUUUUACCCAAAUAACUCGAUUUUUUAAAAAAUUCUUAAAAUAAUUCAAUUUUUAGAUUAUUUUCUAAAAUACCCGGAGGCACCAGAUGAUUUGGCGCAUGCUCUUAAACUUAGAGAUGAGAUGUCAGUUGAAUCAAAAUGAAAAGUUUUAUAGGUUGUCCAAUAGGAUUUGUCACUAGUCCUUAAGCACAUAUAAUUUAAACAUCAUUUGAAAUCAAUUAGGAAAAUUAACAACAACUUUAAAUUUAUAAUACAAGGAAUAAAUAAGAGUAAACUGAAUGAUUAUAAAUUACUAAGCGAUAUAAAACACUUACUUACUAAUUUUCUCAUAUCCCCUCUUCAUGAUCAUGACGAAUAACAUGCACAUCAUCUGAAACAUUUUCUUCAUAUGAUUGGCGUACAUGUGUUUCUAAACAAGGGGUCUCAUAGUUAAAAUCUUGAUUUUCAUCAAUACUAUCAGUACGAUGUUUUCCUUAAAGAACAAUUGAACAUUUAAUGCUAGUAGGAUCAGUGACAAAAAAUUGUUUUGUUGGAUUUUCAUGAUGAAUGGUUUCUUCCUAUAAGUUGCCUUUCGAAUAUCAACUCUUGUGAAUCCUAAUUUCAUCAGUUUCUACACCAGUGUUACUGUCAAUCCACUUGCACUUAAAUAAAGACACUUUAAAAGCAACAUAGUAAAUCUCCAAAAUCUCCUCAAUGACCCUAAAGUAUGCUCUAGAUGCUAGUACAUGAUUGUUAUAUUUGAAACUAGAAAAGUACAUGGAUUCAGCCUCAACCAUAACCCCACUAUUUUGCAUGGUGCUACGAUCAUCCUUUGAUUUUGUACAUAAUGAUUAUUUAGUAAUGUCGUAUGCACUCCAAGUAAUUACAUUAAACUUAGGCUUACGUGUCAACCAUUUAAUUAUAUCUGAUGGGCUACUCUCUUUAGAAACACUUUCAUUAAACCAAUUUAUGAAAGUUUUGUUAUGCUCUAUCAACAACCAUCUUUCAUUCAUCCGGGGGAAUUUUUCCUCUAUAAGACUUUUGUGAGCGGUCAAGUAAGGUUGAACUUCAUUAAGGUUAUUCAAUAUAUACAAAUAUGCUUGAAAAAAUACUUCUCGGUCAAAUGUAUUAUCAUUUAAACCUUGAAUACAUAUACUAUCAUAGCAUCCAUCAUGACGAGACUCAAGAAUUCCUAUAGAGUUCACUUAUGAAAAAUACUUUGUACAAAACUCAAUAGUUUUUUCUAUGACGUACCUUUCUACGAUUGAAGCUUUCGAACGAUGAUGAUUCUUUGUAUAUCCUUUAAAAAUGUUCAUGUAACACUCUACCAGAUACAUCCACCAUAAAUAAACUAGAUCACAAAUUCUAAUCUCUCUUACUAGAUGAACAACUAAGUGAACCAUAAUGUCAAAGAAUGAUGGAGAGAAAAACAUCUUCAAUUGGCACAAGAUAAUUGCAACUUCAUGUUCCAAGUCGUCUAAAUUUCUAGGAUCAAUAACUUUACUACAUAUAACAUUGAAGAAUAAGCAUAAUCUGGUUAUAGUUACCCUUACAUUUCUUGGUAUAAAGUCAUGAAUAGCCACUGGUAGAAGUUGUUGCAUCAAGACAUGACAAUGACAAUCAUGAGAUUUUUAGCCAAUUAACUUGAGAUCAUUCGCUGACACAAGUUUCUUCACUUUUGAUGAUUACCAUUGGGGAACUUUGAUACCCUACAAACAUUCGCAAAAACAUUUUUUUAGACAGAGUGUAACAUGUUGGGGUAAAUAGGUUCUAUUUCCUAUUUAUUUUGGGGCUAACUCUUGUCGUAUACCCAUCACAACCAUAUCUUUACGGGAUUUAUUAGUAUUUGUUAUAUCACCUUUAAUUUUGAUAAGUGUUCCAAUCAAACUAUCACAUACAUUUUUCUCCACAAGCAUCAUAUCAAGACAAUGUCUUACAUCAGGAUUAUAACAAUAUGGAAGAUCAAAGAACACUGACCUCUUUUUCCAAAUAUUUUUAUCAAUGGACUUUUUUUGUUUCUUUCCGAAGACAACAUUAAUGUGUUGUUGUCUUUUAUAAACUCUCCUCUUGGUUAAGGGCUUUGGAGUGAUAUCAAACUCCUGCUCUCCACUAAAAGCCUUUCGUAAUCUAUGAUAUGGGUGAUUAAGUCUUCGAAAUUUUCAAUGCUCAAGAUAAACUGUCUUUUUUCCUUUUUGCAAUUGGUGGCGACAUGUAUCAACUUCACAUAUAUGACACACUUUAUGUCCUUUGACGUUGUACCCAAACAAAUUAUCAUAUGCAAGAAAGUCAUUGAUUGUGUAAAACAACAUGACACACAACUUAAAUUAAUCACCCGUAUACAAAUCAUCAACAUCAAUACAUUUCCUCCCAAAAAAGUCUUAAAUCUUCAAUCAAUGGUGUUAAAUAAACAUCUAUGUCGUUCCUUGGUUAUUUUGGACCCAAAGUCAUCAUUGAUAACAUCAAAUAUUUGUGCUUCAUGCACAACCAUGGAGAUAAAUUGUAAAUUAUGAGAAGAAUAAACCAUGUUGUAUGGUUAUUACUCAAAUUACCAAACGAGUUUAUUCCGUCAAUAGCAAGUCCAAGCCUAAGGUUCCUCGGUUUAAGGGCAAAAUCUGAAAACAAGGAAUCAAUUUUCUUCCAUUGCAAUGAAUCAGCUACAUGACAAAUUUUUCCAUCACACACUCUUUCAUUUGCAUACCAUCUAGUAUUCUUUGUGUCAUUAACAUUAGCAAACAAUCUCUUGAACCUUGGGAUUAUCGCUAGGUACCCAUCACCUUGGAAGGAACACCCGUAAUAGUUACACUAUCAUCAUCAUCAUCAACAACACCAUUGUCCUUCUGCUUGGGGCCUGACUCCUCGCACCUUGGGCACUCCUUCAAGUUUUCAAACUUUUUCCUAUAUAAGAUGUAAUCAUUAGGACAUGCAUGUAUUUUGACAUAGUUCAAACCCAUUGGACACAAUAUCUUCUUGACCUUAUAAUUAUGGCUCAACAACGUGUUACCUUCGGGAAGCAUUUCUUUUGACAAUUCAAGCAAUUCAGUGAAACUUUUAUCCAUCCACCCACCUCUUACCUUAAGAUUAAAUAGUCUUAACACAACUUAUAUUCUUGUAAAAAAUUUACAUCCCGGAUACAACGAAUCUUCCAUGUCUCUUUGCAAUGUAUCUACCACAUUAGUUUUCUUAAAAUCAUCUCCUCCAAUAUCACGAAUCAUGUCUUCUAGAGUGUUAUUCACAAAUUCAUCAUCUUCAAUUGUAUGUGACAGAUGUCUCUUUUUUGUCACUUCACCAUGCCAUACUCAUUUCGUAUAAUUUUGAAUAAUUCCACCACAACCACAAUGAUUGAAUAUAACAUCCCUUAAAUAUUUUUUUCGUAUUAAAGCACUUUUUACAAGGACACCAAAAAAUCUCAUUAUUUUUAGGAAGUUUUUUCCAGCGAAAUCAAGAAAUUGUAUCAAUCAAAUCUCAUACUCUUUACUUAAUCUAUUGACUUUCAUCCAACUAUGAUUCAUAAUCACAUAAAGCUUCUGAAAAUAAAAUAAAAAUAAUACACAAUCAACAAAACACUAAACAACAAGAGAGACUCAAAAACAACGACGAAGAAACAUAAGAGUUGAAGGGUGUCGUUUUAGUAUAUUAUUAACAUUGAUUUAGGUUAUUUUUAUUUUAAAGGUCUAAUAAUAAAUUCAUUAGAUAAUAAUAAAUUCAUUUAAAAUGUUUUUCUAAUUAUAUUAAAUUAUUUUUUUAUAAAAUUAAUUCAUAAAAUAUUUCUUUUUUUUUUCAAUAAUAAAUUACUUUUUCUUACUUAAAUAAGUUUGAGUAAGAAAAUCCUAUAUCAACUAUAUUUAAAUCAAGAAAGGGUUAUAUUGCAAAUGAUUAUUUAUCUCAUUUUUUUAUCAAUUGAUAUUUUUAUGUUUUUAUUUUAAAUUGGUUAUGAAAAUUACAAAUUAGGCAGGUUCUAAUAUUUUUUAAAUUUUUUAUAAUUUUGUUGUUGUUGGUAUUAAACUAAGAUGGUAAAUUUGAUUUUUAGAGUUUUGAUGUUAGCCAUGAUUUUAGAUAGUUAUUUGUAUUGGUGUUAGAUUAAUUUGAUUUUGUGUUUUGAUUAUUUAAUAAUAAUUUUUCUACAAAGUUGUAUCUAUUUUAAAAUAGAAAAGAUAAUAAUUAAUUUGAGUAUAUAUCAUCAAUGUUAUAUAAAAUUUAAUUUUUAGUUUACGUCGUAAAAUAUGUGUUAUAUUUAAUAUUUUAUAUAAAUUGAAAAAAUAUGAUAAAUAAAGGAGAGAAAGUAACACUUUUACGAGAUUAUUUUUAGUGUAAAAAGUAUGAAAUUAUGAGUAUUAAUUAGAGGAUAUAAUUGAAAGAUAAAAAUUUAUUUUGGGAUAAUUAAUUUUUAGAAAUGUAAUAUUUAUUUUAUGACGGAAGGAGUAACAUCUAUUUAGGAGUUAUUGAUUUGUGUAUUAUUUUAGAAGUGAUACAAUAAUUGAACACAAAAAAUUAAUCUUUCUUUUAAAUAAAAUCCAAAAAUAAUUCAAUUGUUAUGAGUUUUAAAAAAUAUUUGUCAUACCAUUUAAUAUUUUGGCCAAGAUCCGCCACUGCUCAAAAAAGUAUGGAGAACAACAACACGACCAAUAAACAACAAGAACAAGAACAACAACAAACAACAACAACACAGUAAACAACAAGAACAAGAACUACAACAAACAACAACAACAACACCAGUAAUGAAGAACUUGUACAUAUCAGAUAUGUGAUGAAAAACUUGUAAAAAAAAUGAUGGUUCGAGUUUCCUUCCUACUUGGAGAAAAAUGACAUUCUUUCCUUCGUUAGGGCUCAAAAAGUGAAUGAGUUAGACUUAACAUUAACUCUAAAGGAAUAAAAAAAUUAGAGAGUUUUUUUAUCUCGGUUUAUUUAAAACCCGAUGUAUAAUAUCUGACGCAAAAUCUAUAAAAAAAUAGAGGCACAUUUUUUGGUUCCAAAAGGAAUAAAAAAAUUAGAGAGUUUUUAUCUCGGUUUAUUUAAAAAUCGAGGUAUAACAUCCGACGUAAAAUCUAUAAAAAAAUUAAGCCGCCUUUUUGGUUCUAAAUAAAACAUAAAAUUGCAAGAGCUGAGAAUCGAAUCUCAAACCCUGAGUAACUAUUUAUGUUGGUUUUUGUAAAAUUUGAGGGAAAAGAUUGACUAUUUUUAAAAAAUAAAACAUGACACUCCCAAGAUUUAUAUCCUCGAUUGUUUAUUAUUCGAGGUGUAAGCUUCGUCAUAAAAAACGUUACUUGUGGUAGUGGGGGCGACGAUGCAAGGUCGCCCGAAGGGAGAUACUGACUCGUGUGAUAAGACAUAUCUUGGAUAACAGGAAAGACAAGAUAGUUACUGACCCCAUGUAUCCCUUGGAAAUAGAAAUUCAAAAAUCCACCUUUUGACUGGGUAGGUGACGAUCUUUUCCAAGAAAUCCUUGAGAAUCAGGAAUUCCUAUAAAUACUUCAUCCCUCAAAGGGACGGGGAUCAAGUCAUUUCACUCAAUACCAUCCAAUACUACUCAGAGAGCACUUCCCUCUAAGCAAUCAUACAACCGAUAAUUUAAUCACCUGCCUGCAAUCUAAGAGCGUCGAUCGCCAGCAUGACCUCUCACAUAACGUGAGAUGGUCCCUUAAACAACACAAAACACCACCGUACAUGGCUACUCGCCACUGUGAGAUAACCCUCACCCCAUUCGUGUAGUAUACCUACUAGGACCUCUAAGUUUUCUUGCCCCUGCAGAGGAAACAUGCCCACACCCUGUACUUUUUUGGACAGUACGAGGCUACUUGACAAAAAAAGAAGAGAUAAGUCAUUAUUAAUGUUUCAAUUAGUUAUUCUUAGAAGAUUGUAGAGAGAUAUUUGUAAAAGACAUAUUAAGGCCGGGAGAAUUAUCAACUGCCCUUAAGGGGUGACUCACAUCUACUGCCUACCAUUAAGAACUUCCUCUCUCUGAGUGCUCCAUACUCGCCCAACGGUGGAAAAAGUGGGAAUAGACGUUCCUCAGUCAGAUAGAAGUCAAUGUUAAUAGUCUAACCCAUAUCUCCCUAAAAAAUAUGGAUUCAACUAUCCACCACUGAUUAAGUGGGUGAUUAUCACUCCCAUGGGAACCCUAGCUUAGGAGCCUCUAUAAAUAUUGCUUCCCUAACGGGAGAGAAGACAAAUCGCAAUACAUACGAUACACUCUUAAUAGCUACAAAACUUUUCACCUCACUUGAGUUUGCUCCUCAUCACUGUAAACACCACCAAACAGGGUCUCUCGCCGCGACAUGCAAACUCUAAACCACUAGAAAAAUACUAAGGUCUCUGGUCACGCUUACUAGCUUAGGGAUACCUUGAAUUAUGUACUUUUUGACAAGUACAAGUAUCAGUUAAGUUAUUCUAAGAUAUUAAAUAAGUUGUUAUUGAAUUUUUAGACAUGUCAUCAUCAGAAUGGUGUGAGAGUAAAGUUUAAGGUUUCUAAUAGGAAACCAUUUAGAAACUAGUUCUCCUUCGACAUUCAUUAUUUUGAUUCAGGAACAUAAAUUAAGGAUCGACAAGAUGAAGGAGCAGAAGAAUCAAAGAUAAAAAAUUAUAACAUUUAUAUUAAUUUUUAAUUACUAGGCUCCCUCGUAUUUACAUGAGUUAGAUUCUCAAAUUAUUCUUAUGUUUGAAGAUCUAAACAUAUAUAUUCGAGAUCAAAAUAAACUUCACUUAGUUUUCUUAAUAGAUCAAAUAAUAUAUAUUCGAGAUCAAAAUAAAUUUCACUUAGUUUUCUUAAUAGAUCAGAUAAUAUUCUUAAUAUCUCAAUUAGUUAUUCUUAGAGUAUCAAGUAAAUUAUUCAUCUCAAUUAGUUAUUCUUAAAAGAUCAAAAGUAAAUUAUUCAUAAGAUCUUAGAUAAGUUGUUAUUGGACAGAUACACGCAUUGAUCAAGACAUAAGAACGGUGUGAAUAGAAUUAGAGGUCUUUAGUAAAAAACUCAAUUAGAAAAUUUAUAUUAAGUUUUAAUUAUUAGACUCCCUCAUAUGUUACAUGAGUUAGAUUCUCAGAUUAUUCACGUAAAUUAUUUGUAAGAUACACACACAAUGAUCAAGGCUUUAAUAAGAAUGGUGUGAAUAAGAUAUGAGGUCUCUAGUAGGAAAUCCAAUUAGAAAUUAGUUCUCAACCUACAUUAUUCAUUAUUUUUAGUCAGUAAGAAAUCCAAUUAUAAAUUAGUUCUCAACCUAUAUUAUUCAUUAUUUUUAUUCCGGAACUUGAAUUUAAGAUUGACAAGACAAAAUAACGAAAAAAUCAAAGAUUGACAAGACAAAAUAACGGAAGAAUUGAAGAUCACUCAUAUAUUAUUUCAUUUAUUUUUUUCCCUAUUGAGGCGAUUAAAUCAAGAGGACUACCUCUCUAAAUACUUUUUUGUGUUUAACAUUGUAUAAUGAUUUUUUAGAUACUUAUUCUAUGAUGUUACAUUAUCUUCUCUAAUUUAGACAUAAAUAAAAUUUAGAAUUCAUCAAAAAAAAAUUAUUAACUUGCAUUCAAAAAGAGACUCAUAUUAUUUCAUUUAUUUUUUUUCCCUAUUAUUGAUGUUGAGGCGAUUGACCACCUCUCUGAAUACUUUUUUGUAUUUAACAUUUUAUAAUAGUUUUUAGAUACUUAUUUUACAAUGUUACAUUGUCUUCACUCUAGUUUAGAGACAUAAAUAAAAUUUAGAAUUCACCAAAGAAAAAAAUAUAUUAUUAACUUGCAUACAAAAAGAGACACAUAAAAUGAUUUGUUAGAAGAUAUCAAUACAGUUCCAUCAGAAAAAAUAGAACAAAUGAAACUCCUAAAACUAAUGAUGGAUUUCCCAGAGAAGAGUCUUUUCCACCUUGAUUGAUAAACUCCAAGGAUGUCUAAGCAGUAGCACUUGGAGAAUUGUAUAACUUGACCACCAUCUUGCGGUAAUCUGCAUAAUACAUCCCAAAAAAUCAUUAUAGUUAUUUCAGAUUCACAAGACUCAUAAUGAUUGUAAGACUAUCAAAUAUGUUUAUUACCUUCUUGAUUGCUCCAAAGCUGUGCAGCUUGUGGAUUUAGAGGUGAACUAAUGUUUGGCUCUACAUUAUUAUAAAUUAAGAAAGGAUUAAAAACAGUACAAAGAAAACAAUAACUAAAUUUAUCUAUGCAUCUAAUAAGAUCAAACUAUUUACCUCCAAGAAGACUUUGAAUGGAUAGUAGAAUUGUUCUGACAUCAUAGGCAGAGGACCAUUUGUCCUAAAAACACAUGACAAAACAAUAAGAACAGUAUGCAAUGCCAAUAGAAUAAUGACAACAACCGUUGCUCAUGAAAAUUUUCAUGACCAUGAGAUCUUUUCACAUUACCUGAAGAAUGUCCAAACAUAUAUUGCCACUAAGAUCAACAUUGGGAUGGAAACAGGUUGUUUCAAACUUAACUUUAGGAGGCUUAAAAGGAUAAUCAGUUGGAAAAGAAAGUGAUAGCUUGUAAUCUGUGUUUUCAAACACUGUGUCAUUGCUUCCUUUUAUUGUUCCUUUCCACAAGAAUAUGUUGUCCUCCUCAGGAAAAGCAGAUAUACCCGAUUCACCACUCAUCUGACAAUCAAAACACAAAAACAAGUAAAGAAUUAAUAUACUUUCAACUGAUCCGUACCAUGCUUCUGCAAUUGCAAUUGCAAUAUUGCUUAUACCAACCGCAAUUGCAGUGUGAUUUGAAAUUACUCAUCCUUCAAUAUUAUGAGCCACGGACAACUAUGAGUGUUAUGAGCGGCAUUGUCAAAACUCAAAAUUUAGAACCCAAAAGUCAAUUUACUUAUGCAAAAUCUUAAUAUUAAGUGUUUUUUAAGUGAGUAUUUCAAACUCUUCUCAAUCAAAAUUCACCCACAAGAGCCCGCAGUGUGCAUCACAGCAACCGCAAUAAACUCGAUCGCAUGCCUGCAACCGCAUCACUGGCCGCAAUUUAAAACCAUGAUCCAUACUAUUAAUUAAGUACUAAUGAAGAUGCCUCAAAGCAGCACUAAUAAAGAUGCCUAAAAAUAAUUCACUGGAUUGCCGCCAAAUAUUAUUAUUUUUGUAAGAGACAAUAAUGAUAGUAGAUUUAAGGUUCUUACCAUCAAAGACAUCAAUUCAGAUUGCAACCUGUUCAAAACAUAGAUCGAAUUGCCCCAACACAAAACAAAGAAAAUGUUAGAAACAAAUUCGCAUAACAAAGGACAAUAGCAACAAUAAGGGUCUGUCUGCAAACAAGUGUUUAGGGUUCUGAUUAGGAUUAAAAACCAUGAUAGAUAACAAAUCGACUUCAAAUCCACAUAACACAAUUCAUCUACAAAUCCACAAACAGUACCAAACAAGUUUUAAUUUUUUUCUUGAUUAUAGUAUUUGAUAACAUUUAGCUAGUAAAGUUAUAUCACAUGAUUGUAAGAACUCAGUGACAGGAAAUGGGAAAACAAGAAAAAGAAAGAAAUAAGAGUGAAUGUGAAACCUUUUGAGAACGGAUUUAGAAUCAACGGUCUUAGGAGGAGGAAGAGGGUGUUUUGUAGGAGCAACAAUGAGUUGAGCAGCAUCGGUGUUCCCGUUAAUGGUAGCCAUAGUAAUCAAUAUAUCGAUGAAUUGAUUCGAAUCGGUUACAGAGAGAAAGAGGAGAGAGGUUAAUGGUUACAAAUAAAACGUUGAUAGUAGCCGUUGCGGGAUUCAGCUACUUAUAACAUAUUAACCUAAUUGAAUUUACCUUGAAUUUAAUGGAAUGGAACGUUAGAAUAGGGAGACACAAAAGGAAAAGGCAACGGCUAGUUGUCUUUUUGUAUCAAUAUUUUUUUAAAGUUUAGUUUUAAGAUUUACUUUAAUGUCUUAUUUAAUAAAUAUUAUUUUUAAGUCCUUCAAAAAUUAUUUUGUUAAUUAAAUUAUUCAUGUUUUUUUUUUGGAAUGAGGAGGCCGAAAAAGAAAACUAAAUGGCUACGGUAAGACUCCAAUUUUGAUCCUAAGAUCCCUUAUGUUAUCUCAUCGUAUACAUUGGUUUAGGGACCACACCUUGACAUCCUCCUUACCCCUCAUUCAUUGGGUUUGUAUUGGGAGAGGUUACCAAACACAUUUGAUUGUAUCAUACUUUGUUUUUCAUUAUUUACUAACCAAAAUACCAAAAAUAUGUCAAUGUAUAGUUUGUUGCUUUUGUAGGUAGUGUGUGUUCACCCAUGCUCCAUCAAGCUCAUAUCUAGGACAUACUUUGUUUUUCAUUAUUUACUAACCAAAAUACCAAAAAUAUGUCAAUGUAUAGUUUGUUGCUUUUGUAGGUAGUGUGUGUUCACCCAUGCUCCAUCAAGCUCAUAUCUAGGGUUUGAGACCCUAAAUGCAAGGAAAUUAAUCAAGAGAUGAUUCACAUUGACUAUAAACAUCAUAUAUGGGUCCCCGUGGUCUUCACAUAUCAUUUUGAUCAAGAAUUCAUCAAGAGUUUGAAGCUUGUUUGCCUUGGAAACCCUAAUUCAUCUGGGUAUCUUGUGUGACUUCCUCAAUAAGUUUCUUCAAUAUUUGAUCAAACAUUUCAGGGGAUACUUCAUAUUACACCAUCUUACACAUAUAUAAUCCUCCAUGUGUCCCAAAUAUCAAAAGAAUGUCAUGUUUGCAAGUUGAUUUAUGGUGGUUGGCCAGAGAAAGUCAACUAGUUAAAACUGGGGUUCCCUAGACCCUAUCUCCUACAAUUUUUGUGAUAUGAAAAUGAUGACAAGAGAAAAGUUACUCCUUAUGACAUUCUAAACAACUUUCAUGUUGAAGUCAAGAGCUAGUUUCACUUGGAAAGUCAUUUUUUAUGGUGAAAGAUUAUAGGUCAUUUUGUCUGAACCCUAGUUAAGAGGUCAACUUCCAAGGACCAUAACUUGCUCAAUUUUUAUGAUAUAAAAUCCAUUCAAGUUCCAUGAUCAAAUUAAAGAUGUCCUUUUCAACUUUUAUGUUUGCAAGAAGUUCAAAUUCAACUUGAAAAUGCAUGUGCCAAGAGGAGACAUUAUAGGUCAUUUUGGGCCAUUACCAUUGAACAAGUGAUUUUCCUCAACUUCUAAAAUGCAUAACUCCUUCAUGCUAAAUCCAAAUGAGUUCAAAUUUGUAACCAAAUUGAAUAGGUUUGAAAGAGCUACAACUUUUAUGAAGAAAUUUCUUCCAUUUGAAGCCCAUAACAAAAGUUAUUCAAGGUGGAAGAAGUGAACAUUUGACUUGGUACUUAGAAAAUUUUCAAAUAUGUUUGUUUUUCCAAGCUUCCACCUCAAAAUUCAUCAUUAUCCAAGUUUCAAAUGGAAAAGUGUUCAACAUGAAAGUUGUUCCCAUUGAUCCCACCUUUGCAAAAAGUCCAUGGUCACCUCAUUUGGACCAAAAUUGAGGGACUUGCACAUGGCUCCUUAGUGGGAUUUGUUUUGGCAAGUUUUGGAUUCAAAUGAUCAUUCCUCUUUGCAUGUUUCCAUGUGAUGACCUCAGUAUUAUUUAGGCAUAAAUUGAAGUUGUAUUGCAUCAUUCUUUAGGCCCAAAUCAUUGCCCAUGCAUCAAUGCACUAUGGUUUCCAAUUUUAGCAAAUUUUCAAGUGGUGCAAAAAUGAAUUCCCUUGCCUAUUUAAACAAGCUCAUGGCCUCAGAAAUAACAGACACACCUUACCUAAGCUUUGCCAAGAGAACUCAUAACCUCACACCAUAGAAUUCCUUGAAGAUUUCUUUGAAAUCGAGUUUGAAUUUCACCUUCUGUUUGAAGUUCAAACUCCAAGGAUUCAUUGCCUUUUUCAUCUCAAUUGAUUACUACAAGCAAGAGGAGGAAGAAUCAAGCAAAUCCAGAUCAAGAUCAAGUUGAAUUAAAGUUACUCGAAGGUGAAAUUUCAGAAACUUCUUUUCUUCGAUUCUCCAUCAUUUCUCAAUUAUUUUGAUUGAUUUUUGGUUGGCUGAAGUCCUACCAAUAUAGGCAACAAGAUUGAGUUGCUUUGAGGUCUAAUCGAAGCAACUCAGUUCAUGAUCCUCAAAAUUCAAAUCCAUGUAUCUCUUGAUAUACUUGGAAUUGGAGAAAAUUGAGACCAAAUUCGAGCUUCUGAGCAUUUUUUCUUUAAAUCCAUGUCCUUGUUUUUCAUUUCCAUGGUGGUUGGUGGUGGACCAAUCCGGUGAGGUCCACUAGAGAAGAAGACUGGAGCCCUAGCUCCGAUGAUGUGUUGGCGUGUCCAAAAUCAUUGGAUCAUGAUCUCACAUUUUAAUCUUAGCCAUCUGUUGUGAUUACCACUUUUGCCAUGCAGUUGACUUGAGCGCAUCAUACAUCUUAGCGCGUGGCCAGAUCUGCCACCUCAAUUAAUGAGGGAGAUCUGAUGACCCAUGUUUUUUUGAUUUUCUUUUUAUUUUCUGAAUUUCUAUUUAAUCCUUUUAUUUAAUUUAAUUCAUAUUAAUUUUAUUUUAAUCCAAAAAAUAUGGGACUUUCACCAAAAAUCUUUAAAUAUUCUUCUCUUUCAUUUUCCGAGUUAAAAUUAUUUUUUGGAUUAAUUUUGAUAUUUUUCAUGAAUUAAAUGUUUUUGUGCAUAUUUUUAAUUAUUUAAAAAUACUUCUGACUUUUCAAAAAUCAUGAAAUUUUUUGCCUAAGGUCCUUUGACCUUGUUUGACCUAGGAUAAAUCUCUUGGCCAUUUAUUUGGUGUUUUGAAGAGAUUUUAGGUUUUGACCAAAUUAAACUGUAUUUUAAUGCAUUUUUAAAUUGAUUUUUAAUUGAUUAAAUGUGUAAAUAUUAUGUUGAUCCAUUUUUAUGGUAUUGCGAUGUUUGACUAUUUGUUUGGGCAUUGGUCAAGUUUGAUUUGACUUUUGUUGGAUUAAAAUCAUUGGAUUUAGGGUAUUGAUAAAAUGUACAUUUCAUCUCCCAAAAUGAAUGAAUGAUUUAAAUUUGAUAAAAUUCCUCCCAUGACCAAUUUGUGUUUCUCUCAUCCCCCCCUUCAUCUUCAUCCCUAUUCUUUCACAUUCCUUUCAUUGACCAAUAAAAUCUCAAAUAUCCUAAGGCUAGUUGGUUCAUCAAUGACCUUGUGUCAGAUGAACCAAUACAAGUAUGGAUGAGAUAUGUUUAUCCUUCUUGAUCUUUUCUUUUAGUGUGUGGUAUGUUUUAGGAGUUUGAUUCAUUAUACAAAAUCUCUAACAUGCAUUAACAGCUAAAUUUUUAUUGCCCGACCUCAGAUAGUUGUGACUUCUACAUAAGUCCAAUUACGAUUGCUUAACAUAGAGCUAAAUUUGACCCUAAAGGCAUAUCAUUAUAGUAUGUGAGAUUGUAAGUCUCCCAUUCUUCAUGGUAUUAUGUAGAAACUUGACCUUUUUUCCUUCUUAUGGAAGAUGUCUUGGUUUAAGGAUCCAUGCUUGUGAAUGGAUGGUUGAGUGUUCUCCAAAGAAUGACUUAAUCAAUUAAAAAGCAAAACACCACUAACAUUUAACUAACAUUUGACUAACUCUUAUUAAUAUUGUUUUACUUUCAAGUCAUUUAUUUUAUGAAAUUUAAUUUUCAAUCAUUUAUCAUUCAUUUCCAUUUCCAUUUCAUUUAACUUGUUUAUGUUUAUGUCAUUUUUACUUUGCUCAUUUGAGCCAUAUCUUGUGAUUGUAUAUAUUUGUGUGUGCAUUUUGAUUUUGUUUGUGGUCUUAGGACCUUAAAACACUUAAUAAACAACAAAAACCCUAAAAAAAAUAUUUGGUGGACUGUUGAUCUUGAUCUGAACUUUCGGACUUAGGAUUAUGCAACAUUCCCUGUGCAAAAAGGACUUGGCCAAUUUUGGUAAAACAAAGAGUUUUCACAAGAUGUUGUAUGUGAUGUCUUAACAUAAGAUGUCUAUGUACCUGCUGGAGUUCAAGAACAUAAUUAUGCAGGAUUAUUUCAGGGUGAAUGUUAUGUGUUAUGUGAUUGCGUAUUUAAUGACAAUCUAUGUAGGAUUGAAGAUCUGAUUUGCAGGUGCAUUUAAUCAUUGAUUACAACCUGAUUUACUUAUUUUCCAAAGAGUCUAACCAGCUAUUAUGAGAAGAUUUAAUUGGAAAAUAGUUUUAGGGUUUUCAAGAUGUCCAAGCCCAGCUGAAAGCUUCUAUAAAAAUGGACUUGGAAAACCUGAUUGUACACACAACCAAUACAGAGCGAAAUACUGAGAGAGAGCAAGGGUUUGUGUCUUAUUUAGUCGUGAGACUUAUAAGCCAUUCAAGUCAUCCAUAGAUGAUUGAAUUGGUCUGAUUUGUGGGUUGUAAUUUGUCACUCUAAGCUUGUAAGCAAGAGUGUGUGUCUACUUGAUCAAAGUUGUUAAGCAAGAUCAAGUGUGUGUCCACUUGAUCAAAGUGUUAAGCAAGAUCAAUGUGUGUGCACUUGAUUGAAACUGUGAAGUUAAAAUCAAGUGUGUGUUAUUGAAAAGUGUCUUCUUUUCACAAGGAAUUGUUGUUUAAAAUCACAGGUGUGAUUGAGGGGAGUGAGUGGGUUCUCAUAUCUAAGAGUGCUUAGGUAGAAAUUGCACGGGUAGAGAUUAGGUGAGAAAGACUGUAACUUGUUGAAGUGUAUUGAGAGUCCUUUGAAGCUGAUUCUAUUUAGUGGAUUUCCUUCCUGGCUUGGUAGCCCCCAGACGUAGGUGAGUUGCACCGAACUGGGUUAACAAUUGCUUGUGUCUUUUGCAUUACCAUUCUUUAUCUUUAUUCUGCUUGUUUUACUCAGAUAUUAAUGUCGUGACAUUACCUUCGACAUCUCAUAUCUGAUACCAGAAUUUCAAUGAAUUUACCGCUACAGCUACAAUUCGGGAGACUACGAUCUCUGAUACAUUCUUUGCAAGUAAUUCAGCGAGAUCAUUAGUAUAUUAUGAUAAAUGUGCAGGUCGAUAUCAUGAUGCAGACUUUUUUUUGCUAUAGCAUUUGCAUAGUGAUUGGCUUCUCUAUGAAGAUGCUUGAUCCUUACUUCUCAAUCUUCAUUCAACUAGAGUUUUAUUUGGUGCAAAAUGCCACUACCUUCCUUGAUGUUUAAGGACCUCUUGUUAACAACCUAAAUGAUUGCUUUGUUGUCAUUCUGAAGUUCAAUUUUCUUGUAUCCCUUCCCAAGAAAAUUUAAGACCCUUAUGGACUCCCCACAUCUCAAUAUUCUUGGAAAACCUCUAAGCCAUCUGCCUCAGUUGUCUCAAACUAACCCAUCACAACCAACUUUCCUGUUGUUCUUAGCAACACCAUCAACAUUGAUCAAAGUCCGGUACUCCUUGGGAGGUUUCCAACUUAUACGAAGUGAAACCUUAUUCCCGAUGCACAUGCGUUGUUGGAACUCUAUGCUCAUAUUGUAAAAUUGGGACCUGCUUAUAAUAUCAACAUACAUCAUAGUGGGCAUGACAUAUGUAUCGUCAUAGAUCUUUCUGUUAUGCCAAAACCAAAAAGAGUGACAAGUUGUGGCCUACAACACCUUCCACUCCUUGAUCUCUCCAUGCCCAAGAUUGAUCUGCAUAUUCAUCUUCAUCCAAUCCUGUGAACCUACGUCAAAGGAAAUAUUCUAGCAUGAAGCUCUGACAAGAGAGAGCCAAACUGGUUUAACAGCAACAUAAUGUCUCACAACAUGGAUCACUCUUUCAAUUUCCUCUGUGCACUCGAGGCAAGAAGAAUCUCUUAUGUGCAUCUUACUAAGGCGAAGAUUUAUAGUGAGGCUUUCAUGCUUCACUAACAAAAUGAAAGCUCUAAUCCUUUCAGGGAACUUCAAGGGCCAAAUGCUCUUACAAAGGUUGCUUUGCUCAUGAUCACUGCUGGUAGAACUUAGCAUUUGAUACACAUUAUUGAUAGAAAAUAUCCAUUCUUUAUGCCUCUCCAUAAACAAAUAUCAUCACCAUUGUUGGAUGGAUCUAGGUAGGUGGAUGGCCAAAAAUUAUUCAACAAUGUUGUGAGGCAGCAAAUUAGUAAGGAGAUCGAGAUUCCAGUUUCCAUCCUCUGUAGCAAGAUCAACAAACUUGACAGAUUGAGGGUAAUGUUGGCUAUCCAUUGUGACAUGGCUUUAUUUUUUUAAAUUUAUGCUUAUGUCUAAUGUUUCACUAAUUAUUCAUCCCUAGGUACAAUCCACUAGAUUGAUGAAUUGAUGGUAUUUUGAAGGGAUUUCAUUCUUACUUAAAACAUUAUUUUCAUUGGGUUCUCCUCAAAAUAAAAACAAAGAAGAAGAGCUUAAGCUACAAAAAAUAAAAUACUGAAAAAUAAAAUUAUAGAGAUAGAAAGAUUAUUGUGAAAAGCGUAUGUACUUAGAAAACAAAGUAUGAAUCAGUUUCUUGUAUAAUAUAACAUAGAAAAGCGAAAGAUUUUAGAACAAAAAAAGAAAGACAAUUUAAAGUGGUAUAAAAAAACUGGAUUCUUGAAUCAAUUUCACAUUAAGUUACAAUGUUUACAAUUGAAUCUUAACCACACCAUUUUAUGCCUCUAUUAGGAUUUUCAGGGAUCGAUGAAGAAGUGAUGACUGGUAUGUUGUUUAUAAGAAAACCAAACCCUAGAUUACUACUAACAUACUAAAUAAUUGGCCCAAUAGUCUGGCCCAAUUCGACAUGCUAGCUUAAACAACAAGCUAACAUAUUUCAACAACUACACUAGCUUUUUGACUUCGACAUGGCUCUUCGACUUUAACAAAGUUUGCUACAAUACUAGCUUAUAACCCAUAAGCUACAAAUCUCCACCUUGGAGCAAGCUAUGAACCAUGAAACGAACUAGUUAUCAUCAUGCAGUCCUAUCAGUUGCAUAUAAUGGAAUAAGUUGCAACUUGGCAAUGUCUUGGUGAUCAUAUUAGUAACAUUGUUAUCGGUCAAAACCUUUAGCACUUGGACAUCUCCAUGCUUGGUUAUCUCUUUAGCGAAAUGCAGACUCACAUUGAUGUGCUUGAUUCGCUCAUGAAUAUUUUCAGGUUGGUAAACAACUGUGAAGUGGCUAAAGAUGCUUGGGACAUUCUCAAGACCACUCAUGAAGGCACCUUUAGAAUAAAGAUGUCUAGACUACAGCUGCUCACCUCCUAGUUUGAAAAUUUAAGGAUGAAAGAAGGUGAAAAUAUUCAGGAAUUUCAUAUGAGUAUCCUUGAAAUUGCUAAUGCCUCAGGAGCCCUGGGAGAGAAGAUGUCAGAUGAAAAAUUGGUUUCUUUUUAUGAGUCCAGUGAGGGAUUCUCUAAAAGAUACUUCCACUCUGCCAUAGAAGAGUCUCAAGACAUCUCCAACAUGAGAGUUGAUGAGCUAAUUGGUUCCCUCCAAACAUUUGAGAUGUGAUUAAAUUAUGGUUCUGAAAAGAAAACCAAAAGCAUGGCCUUCAUGUCUAACACAGAAGAGAAAAAUAAUCAGGAUGUUGAUGAAGAUUUGGCCAAUGAAGUAGCGAUGCUGGGAAGACAGUUCAACAGACUGUUGAAAAAGAUGGAUGUAAGAUCUAAGGCUAAUGUCAAGAACAUCUCAUCUGACAUCAGUAAAUCCAACAAUGCUGGAAGAAGAUCAAGGUCAGAUGAUAAGCCCAAAGAAGGAAAAGAAGUAAAGUCCUAUGAAUGUGAUGGGUAUGGAAAUAUUAGAACUGAAUGUGGAACCUACCUAAAGAAGCAGAAGAUGAGUCUUGCUGCCACUUGGUCUGAUGAGAGUGAAAUAGAAGAAUCUACAAAUCUGGUAACUACCUUGACUGGAAGAUGGGGUUCUGAUGAAGACUCAAGUGAUGAUGAAGUAACCUUUAAAGAGUUGGCCACUACCUACAGAAAGUUGUCACAAAAGUGUAGAGGUGUGUAAACAGGUUGAAAGCCAGAAGAAGGUAAUAACUCAACUUGAGAAUGAGAAGGUAGAACACUUGGAAACCAUCUCCAAAUUAAAAACAGAAGCAGUGGUUCUGAAAAAAGUGUAGAGGUGUGUAAACAGGUUGAAAGCCAGAAGAAGGUAAUAACUCAACUUGAGAAUGAGAAGGUAGAACACUUGGAAACCAUCUCCAAAUUAAAAACAGAAGCAGUGGUUCUGAAUGCCAUGCUAGAUGAAAGUUAACAAGUUGAAAGCCAUAAGAUAGUACAGUUGGAGAAUGAGAAGGCCGACCAUGUGGAAACCAUCUUCAAGUUAAAAACUGAAGCUAUGUUCUUGAAUUCUAAACUAGAAGAGAUGACCAAGUAUGUAAGAAUGUUAAACAAUGGAUCUGACUCCUUAGACAAGAUUCUCCAAAUUGGACAAAUAACAGGAGACAAAUCUGGCAUUGGGUAUAAUGAAUCUAAGCCUGAGUGCAGUUACACUGGUUGCAAACCUAAAGACAAACCUAAGUGCAACCAUAGUAAAAGCAAACCUGUGAUAUCACAUCAUCAGAAGAGAAGACAACAGAAAGGGAAACACCAAAGAUGGAGAUGCCAUUACUGUGGGAAAUUUGGUCACUUAAAGCCCUUCUGCUAUAAGCUGUAUGGUUAUCCUAGCCCUGUUCAUCAUCAGACUCACUAUCAACCCAUACCCAAACAACACAGGCCUGUCAACAAGAAGCAAUAGGUUCCUAAGACUAAUGUUACAAGUCUUAUAGCUCACACUCCCCUCAGAGUCUCAGCCAAAGAAGAGUGGUAUUUUGAUAGUGGAUGCUCCAGACACAUGACUGGAAACAAAGACCUGAUAACUGGUCUUCAUUCUCAUGCCAUAAGCUAUGUAACCUUUGGUGAUGGAGCAAAGGGUGAAAUCAAGGGGAUAGGUAAGCUUGAUUGUCCUGGAGUUCCUGAACUUGACAAGGUCCUACUGGUUAAGGGUUUGACUGCAAAUCUAAUAAGCAUCAGUCAACUAUGUGAUCAAGGUCUGAAUGUUAACUUCACUAAAACUGAAUGUUUGAUUACUAACAAAGAAAGUGAAGUGAUUAUGAAAGGAGUCAGGACCAAAGACAACUGUUACAUGUGGAGCUCUCAAAUUGAUUAUUCCUCAAAGUGUACCUUUGUCAAAGAAAAAGGGAUGAAGAUAAGUAUAUCUGCUAGAGGGACUCUCAAGAGUGAUGAAAGACAAGUCUGUGGGAAAUGUCAGACAAGGAUGUCACACUAGAAACUCAGACUUAACAUCACUUCCAAAGGAGAAAAGCUCAUGAUGGCUCAAAUAUAUAGGACGUUGGAUCAGAUGGUUGAACAUGUUACUAGUCAUAUGCAGUCUGAAGUUGGAAAGAGCUUUGUUGGACUUGGGCUACAAGUCAAGCAGAUAGAAGGGCCUAUAUGUCUAUCUCAAAGCAAAAGUGCCAUGAACAAUGUUGAGAAGAUUGGGAUGGAGAGUGAAAGGACACCUGCUCUUACACAUUUGAAAGAUGAAAUUGGUGUUUAUGCUGAAUAUAUAGCAGAUGGAAGUAGCUGUUCUCAACAGGGUUGGUUGAAACUACUGAUGAUUGCAUACAAUGUCACACAUGAUGUCAUGUCAUUGUAUAAUGACAACCUGAAUGCUACAACUAUGUCCAAAAAUCCUAUUCAACACAGUUGGACCAAGCACAUUAAUUGCUGUCAUCACUCCAUUAGAAAAUUUGUGGAAGACAAAUUCAUUGCUCUAAAGCAUGAAAUGCAAUUAGCUGACAAAUUUGCAAGGGGUUUGGAUGAUAAUCAGUUUGAAUAUGUAAGAGGGAAAUUGGGGAUUUGGAUUCUUGUAAAAUUAUGGCAAUUAAAGUGGAGUGGAAAAGGUAAUAAAAAUAUUGUCUGCCCACUUAAAAGAAAGAGCCACAUUAAUGAUGAAUCAUUACCUAGUAUUGGAACUAGUAUCUAUGCUAUUUCCACACGCUACCUAAACACAACCAUUUCCAUCUUCAUCCAACUUCUCAGAAAACCUCUGCUAGGGCAAAGAAAUUCUUUCCAAAAGUCCAACAAAAUGUCACAACAUCCCUCAUCAUCAGGAUCAAAACCCACUCACAAAGGAAGGACUCCCUCCAUGGAGUUUCUAGAUGAAGAUGUUCUGGAGGUUAUUCCCCUCUCUGUUAUUCCAGGCGACAUCCCUGGCCCUUCUUCCACAGCUGGAAGUAACCAAGGUAACAUUCCUGAAAAAUCUCCUCAUAAAGAUGACAUGCACUUCACUGAUCGUACCAUUAGAAACCUAGUUACUAGGAUUCUGAAUGAAGGGCAUGCAGUCAAGGGUGUUUCUACCCCUCUGUCUAGAAGGGACCCCUCUCCUGAGGUGGAACCCCAAGCUGAGAAAGAUGAUGAUUCAUCUAGAUCAGAGAAGGAAGUGGCUGCUGUCGCAUUACGCGAAAAACCGGCGGGAAAAAAGAAACAACAGAGCCGCCACCGUGCGUUAUUUAUCCCAAAAGAGGGAAAGGAAACGCUCAGAGUAAACCUGGAAAGAACAUGGUCUCGCGACCAAAGAGAAUGGGAUCGGGAGUCGGUUAUACGAAGGGAAGGUAUUAGCACCCCUACGCAUCCGUCGUACUCGACGGGAUCCACGCACAAAAGGAAGGAAAAUGGUUGCUAAAACACUGCUCACACACACACACUGGCUGAAAGAGACACAAGAAAACAGACUGAAACUGACUCGNNNNNNNNNNNNNNNNNNNNNNNNNNNNNNNNNNNNNNNNNNNNNNNNNNNNNNNNNNNNNNNNNNNNNNNNNNNNNNNNNNNNNNNNNNNNNNNNNNNNNNNNNNNNNNNNNNNNNNNNNNNNNNNNNNNNNNNNNNNNNNNNNNNNNNNNNNNNNNNNNNNNNNNNNNNNNNNNNNNNNNNNNNNNNNNNNNNNNNNNNNNNNNNNNNNNNNNNNNNNNNNNNNNNNNNNNNNNNNNNNNNNNNNNNNNNNNNNNNNNNNNNNNNNNNNNNNNNNNNNNNNNNNNNNNNNNNNNNNNNNNNNNNNNNNNNNNNNNNNNNNNNNNNNNNNNNNNNNNNNNNNNNNNNNNNNNNNNNNNNNNNNNNNNNNNNNNNNNNNNNNNNNNNNNNNNNNNNNNNNNNNNNNNNNNNNNNNNNNNNNNNNNNNNNNNNNNNNNNNNNNNNNNNNNNNNNNNNNNNNNNNNNNNNNNNNNNNNNNNNNNNNNNNNNNNNNNNNNNNNNNNNNNNNNNNNNNNNNNNNNNNNNNNNNNNNNNNNNNNNNNNNNNNNNNNNNNNNNNNNNNNNNNNNNNNNNNNNNNNNNNNNNNNNNNNNNNNNNNNNNNNNNNNNNNNNNNNNNNNNNNNNNNNNNNNNNNNNNNNNNNNNNNNNNNNNNNNNNNNNNNNNNNNNNNNNNNNNNNNNNNNNNNNNNNNNNNNNNNNNNNNNNNNNNNNNNNNNNNNNNNNNNNNNNNNNNNNNNNNNNNNNNNNACACAUGCUCGCUAGGAUAUCGCAUCCUAUGCAUACGUAUCUCCUUUGGACGAAGGAGAAUCAGAGCAUCCGUAGCUCGGCUAACACGCACACAAGCAAACACAGGCAAAGGCAAACGUGGAGCCUGAAUGCCAAUCACUGGACUUACAUCAGCAUCCGAACCAAAACACACACAAAAGGCAAACGUGGAGCCUGAAUGCCAAUCACUGGGCUUACAUCAGCAUCCGAACCAAACAAAAUCCACACUGGAACCCGAACGCCACUCGAUGGACUUACAUCAGCUUUCAAGCACACAACAACACAAAACAAAGACACAGGCGCCCUGAGAGAUAUGCUCAUCUCCUGCCUACGUACCUCAUCUGGUAUGAGGAUCAGGGCAACGUAGUUCCCCUACGAAGGGACACAGGACUAGCCUAACCAGAUAACAGAGGGAAACACAACUAGGGAGACUAACUCAAGCCUAGAUGUUAUCAUGCAAAGUUGUCCCUAAGUUAUGGUUUCUAGCUAACUUGCACAGGAAGCAAGCCUAUCCUAAAGCACAAGUAAUAGCAAACAAUCACAAACAGCACACACUAUAUGCACACAAGUGAGGCUCAAACAAGGGUGAGGCUGCAAGAGCAAGCCAACUGUACAGGGUGAGUUUGGCUCUUAACCUUGCCAUUGAGGGGCUAAGGUGAAGCUGAUGAAAGGAGAGUGAAGAUAAGACUUCACAGCUCUUAUCCCUGGUCAGGGAGAGCUUCAGACAAAGGAGUGUGGGUUCAGAAUGGAGGAACCCUUAUACACUCAAGACUCUGACACAACUGUACAUUGUACAAGAUCUUGGGUUUGUGUCCCAAUGCAUCAACACAGUGGUGUGAGCAGAGGGACGACUCAACAGAAUAGCGGGAGAUAGAUUGCAUAUCUCUUAUAUCCGCCAAUUGCCUCAUAGAGGUCUUUACCUGCUUGGGGACAAAAGUAAACAAUCACAAACAUUGCCUCUUAAGGAGGACUUCAGACAGUUGCCUGGCCAAGUAACAAGCCAGGUCUUCCAGACUACAUGGAGACAAGAGAGUCUACCUCAAUNNNNNNNNNNNNNNNNNNNNNNNNNNNNNNNNNNNNNNNNNNNNNNNNNNNNNNNNNNNNNNNNNNNNNNNNNNNNNNNNNNNNNNNNNNNNNNNNNNNNNNNNNNNNNNNNNNNNNNNNNNNNNNNNNNNNNNNNNNNNNNNNNNNNNNNNNNNNNNNNNNNNNNNNNNNNNNNNNNNNNNNNNNNNNNNNNNNNNNNNNNNNNNNNNNNNNNNNNNNNNNNNNNNNNNNNNNNNNNNNNNNNNNNNNNNNNNNNNNNNNNNNNNNNNNNNNNNNNNNNNNNNNNNNNNNNNNNNNNNNNNNNNNNNNNNNNNNNNNNNNNNNNNNNNNNNNNNNNNNNNNNNNNNNNNNNNNNNNNNNNNNNNNNNNNNNNNNNNNNNNNNNNNNNNNNNNNNNNNNNNNNNNCCACACUGGAACCCGAACGCCACUCGAUGGACUUACAUCAGCUUUCAAGCACACAACAACACAAAACAAAGACACAGGCGCCCGGAGAGAUCUGCUCAUCUCCUGCCUACGUACCUCAUCUGGUAUGAGGAUCAGGGCGACGUAGUUCCCCUACGAAGGGACACAGGACUAGCCUAACCAGAUGACAGAGGGAGACACAACUAGGGAGACUAACUCGAGCCUAGAUGUUAUCAUGCAAAGUUGUCCCUAAGUCAAGGUUUCUAGCUAACUUGCACAGGAAGCAAGCCUAUCCUAUUCAGCACAAGUAAACAGCCAAUCAAGCAUUCACAAGUAGCACACACUAUAUGCACACAAAAGGGCUCAAUCAAAGGGGUAAGACUGCAAGAGCAAGUCGUCUGUACAAGGUUAUGGUUAGCUCUUAACCUUACCAUUGAGGGGCUAAGGUGAAGCUGAUGAGAGGAGAGUGAAGACAAGACUUCACAGCUCUUAUCCCUGGUCAGGGAGAGCUUCAGACAAAGGAGCGUGGGUUCAGAAUGGAGGAACCCUUCUACACUCAAGACUCUGACACAACUGUACAUUGUACAAGAUCUUGGGUUUGUGUCCCAAUGCAUCAACACAGUGGUGCGAGCAGAGGGAUGACUCAACAGAAGAGCGGGAGAUAGAUUGCAUAUCCCUUAUAUCCGCCAAUUGCCUCAUGGAGGUCUUUACCUGCUUGGGGACAAAAAUAAACAAACACAAUCAUCGCCUCUUAAGGAGGACUUCAGACAGGUGCCUGGCCAAGUAACAGGCCAGGUCUUCCAAACUACAUGGAGACAAGAGAGUCUACCUCAAUGCAAAUUGCUUAUCAAGCAAAGCAAAGCAAUAUGAGCAACUAAUGUACCUGAAAUCAAUCAAAUACAGUCAGUACUCAGACAAACCAAACAGCAAACGGUUCACAGUUAAUUACAUACAGACAGACACAAGCCAAUGCACAAAGGUGCAAGCAACUCAAAGGAGCCAAGCAUCCUACAACAUAAAACAAGUUAGUUUACAAUAUCAAAUGACAUCUCAAUCAAAUAUGAAUCCACCUCCUUAAGGUAUUUUGCUUCUUAACCUGAAAAUCACAUUCAAACAUGAGAUACAAGACCACUAGGACCAGCCUAGGGUCAAAAAGAAGUGAAAAAGUCAAAACAGCAAGCGAAACAUGAUCAAAAUCAAGAUUAGCCAAAUACAAAGAGGAUCCAAUUGGUCUCACUUCAAAACUAUGCACCAAAUUCAUUUCAUGCACAAUUUAAGUCAAACUAGGCAAAUGUGAAUCAUAUAUGAGCAAACAAAAUGAUCUCACUCAAACAAAUACCUAAACAGCUCAAUAAAUUCCACAAAAAUUCCAGCCUAAACAGGACACAUUCAAUGAGCUACAUGUCAAUUUUCAUGUCAUUUGGACAAGAUGAAGUAGGUCAAUGAAAAUCAUAAAGUCAGCAGAAAUCCAAGCAAGCCAACACAUGGUAGCAAAAUAAGCAUCAACUUAAAUCAAAUGCAAAACAGUGAGAACAAUCAAGAAAUGAAUGGGACCAAAGCCAAAGUAACAAUGAACAUGUUAGGAAUCACUCCAUCAAAUUUCACAUUCAUAUGAUAUGGUAUGAGCAUUUCACAAGACAUGGAAGUCAAUCACUCAAACAAAACCCUAAAAUGUCUAAACAGCAAGCAAAAAUCCCAAUCAAAUAGGAAAUGGCUCAACAAUUCCUACAAAAAAUCAUGGCAAAGCUAGACAUACAGAGGAGAUCACAUGCAAAAUUUGAGGUCAAUUGGCAAAGCAGAGGCAUAUCAAAUAAAAUCAUGAAGUUGACCUAACCUAGUGUGACACACAUUGUCACACUCAACUUGCACACAUCAUAACUUGCAAACCAUAAGUCCAAAAUUCACAAACUACACAUCAAAAUCACCAGCAAUUAGUCAAGAACAAGCAUGUGAAAUUUCAUUCAAUUUGGAUAAUGCAUGAUAAUUUCAUGUUAAAAAUGGUAAAACAUACACAAAAUGCAUACAUGACAAAUAUCAUUAAGCCAAUCCAAAAAAUCACCAGGCACAACUUGAGUUACUAUGCCUAAAAAAACUAGAGGAAAUUCUGAAUCUAACAAAAAAAUUCCCACCUAAUUUGGAUUAAAAUUGGAUUUGUUUUGAUUUUUUGAAGUUAAUUGAAAUAUUGAAAUAAUUAUUUAAAUGAAUUAUGGAUUAAUCAUAGACCGAGUGACACAACUGUAAUUACCCUAUGCCUGGCCUAAAACGCAGCGCAGCAUUAAUGUGCUGGCGCGUCAUGAUUCGCUCGGACUGAGCGGGAAACACCUAAUUUGAACUGAAGGCAAAGGCAUUGGAUCAAACAGCAAAUAUUUCCAGAAAAUCACGUGUUCUUCGUGUUCUUCUUCGUUCUCCAAUACCAGAAACGGCCAUGAACAAUCCNUCCAGAAUUGUGUUCUUGAAGUACAGCAAUUAUCUCAAGCUGCGAACUAAAACGGCACACCAAAGUCUAUAUAUGGAUCAGUAAAGGUUCUAAUGCAUAUAUGUUCACAUCACGGGAAUAUCCACCAUUAAAUCGUCCAGAAGUUCAUACACAAGGCGAAUCGAUUGAAAGAAGUUUUUGCAUCUAAACUUUAAUCCAAGAUUUCUCAGCCAACACACAACGAAAAUACAUGAUACAAGCUUUAUGCUACUCUACAAUGAACACUCUAUCAAAUUCCUAUCCUGAUUGAAGCGAUUAUUGAGUUCGAUUUCCAACCUUGAUCGAGGUGCAGUUAUGGAAUUGUUGAGUUCAGGCUUUGGAAUUCAAAAACAGAUGCGUGUUGAUGUGUGGAGAAGAUGAUAGAAUCAACUUUUCAGCUCGAAGCAGUUCCCAUUCUUGGCAAUCUUCAACUGUUAUGCCUUGGAGUGAGCUUGGACAGUGUGAUUUUGGCUCGAGUUCUUGCUCAAAUGCUUGCAACAGUCCCUUAGAUCUACCUGCAGAUGAAGAAAUCACAAAGAAUUUGCCAAAACAAUGGAGAAUUGUUGAUGAAUUCUAGAAAAAAUGAAUGUGAAACUUGGAGAAUUUUUGAGAGAAUUCUUGAGUCUUUUGUGAUGGAUCUGAAAAAAUGNCCCCCACAAAUAAUCCACCCUACCAAUGAGGUCAAAACAAGCAUAGUGAAAUUCAUUCAUUUGGAUAAUCAUGAAUCAUUAUUCAUGUUAAAAAUGUAAAACAUACACAAAAUACACAUGAACAAAUCAAUAGCAAAGUCAAAAUUCUCCAGGCCAACUUGCAUUUACUAUCUAUAAAAAACUAAUUAAAUUUGGGAAAUCUAACAAAAAAAAAUUCCCAAUCAAUUUUACUUGAAAGAUAAAUAGAAUUUUUAAGUGAUGUAAAUAUGGGAAUAAUUAUUAAGAUUAAUAUGGAGUAAUAAUAAUUAUCCGACAAGCAAACGUAAUACACAGUCCAAGGCCAAAACACGUAGCUUUAAUAUGUGUUGCACGUGUAACGUAAUCGAGCGAAACAAAAUUGAGCGGAACCAACCAACAGACAAACGCGUUUCCAUGAAUUCACCGACUCGCAUGUCCGAACCAGAUCGUAAAGAACAUCUCAACCAAAAUGCACAAAUGAAACCCGUCUCUCCGACUCAUGUAGUACAGUUAAGCAAUGGUUAGUCAUAAUUAACAAACAAGAAUAAUCAAAGAAAAGUCACUACACAAACUAUCGAAAUACCAAAAAUCUUGAUCAAGUGAAAAGUCAUGUUAACUCAAAACAUGACUCCAGGAUCAGCUAACAGCAUUGAUCAAGAUAAAGAUUAGAAAGAAGUCACAGCUGGUAGCUCACUCGCAUCAUGUUCUUGGCCUGAGUACAAACAGGCACAAGCCAGCAGGGAGAUGAUUCGCAGCAUCAACAUCUUGGGAUGAGAAAUCGCGAAUUCAAGAUGAUGAUUCUUGGCACAGCUUCGUGUUACUGCACCGCGACUUGCUAUCACUCUCACAACACCAUCCUCCCAAUUACCCCUGCAAGACGAGAACAACAAGCAACUAGCAAAAACAAGGAACCUGAGAAUGAUCAAAAGCUGCAAUGCAAAUGCGACAAAACGUGAAGAAGGUGAACUCUUGCCUUGAUCAUGAAAAAAGAUAUUCGCUCAUCCGUUGAAUAAGCUUAAUAUGGGCACUAAUCCCAACCUUAAUCAGAAACGGCAACUUAUGGACCCAAAUGCUGCAUACACACAUUAACAUUUUGCCUUCCCUGGCAUGUUGAACAAAUAACAUAUUUUCCUUUGAACAAACCAAAAUCUCAUUGAAACUAUUGAUUGCUAUAUCAAAAUUCAGUACUUUGAGAAGUUGACCAUGCCCAUUAUCCAAGUAUUUUGAGAUUUGGACCAUUUUGCCCUUGCUUUUUAAUUGGUACACUUGAAAAUUGACCUUUUUAUGUGAAGGCUUUUGGCAAAAUGUGAUGAUGGAUUAUGAAAGUACACAUCAAAUGUAGUUUGCUCAAAGAAAAACCAUCCAAUUUGGCCAUUCCAUGUGAAAGUUAUGCCACUUUGAUUUCGGGCAUUUUUGGAAAAUGAAUGGACCAUAUCUUGCCAACCACACAUGGGAAUUUCAAGUUCUUGGACUUUUUGGAAUGGUGAGAUCAAGAUCUUCAACUUCCAUGUUGGACAAAAUUUCAUUUGAAGCUUGUAUGAUGAAGUAAGUUUGGGGAGAAAAACUUUCCAUUUUGGGCAGCUGAAAUUAUAGGUCACCUGCCAUUUUAGGAAACUUCUUGUCUGACCUCCAAAUCUUCAACCUUGGUCUUUGAUAUGUCAAAUGAGACUUAUAUGGACAUGAAUGAGGCCUCUCAAACCAUCUCACACCUUCCAAUCCAUAAAAUCAGGCACAGUUGACCACAGUUGACUAUCUAUGGUUCCAGCUGAAAUUCAGCUUGACUGAUGACUUAUGAGCAUCCAAUCGUUGUCCAAAUCACUUCACAAUGAUCCUUAGACCAUAUGAACUUGAUAAAUCAACCCUAAGGUCUUGCCUCAAUGGAAAUGACACUUGCUUGCUUGCUUGACCUGAUCUCCUGACCAGUUUGACCUAAUUCUUCUGAAUGGCUUGCACUUGGGCAAAUGGCUAUGCAAUGCUAUGCAAUGGACCAGGUUAUGUUAAUGACCUAAUGUGAAAUGAAUGUACAAAAGGUAGGGUGCAAAUUUGAGGUGCUACAGCUGCCCCUAUUCAAUCAACUGGGAACCCGAAGGGAUGAGAGCAACGGCUGUCAGACUUUCAGGGUAAACAGGGACUGAAUACCAAGAACCGUAGAAAUUUGCACACUGCUGGGAUUUGUCUUUUUCUAUUUUUGUCUUCGUUAGAGGUACAACCACAUCCAGACAUCAGCACAUGAUGAAUGGGAACAGAAAUCUCAACUAGAUGCCAGCGGACAACUAGGAAAAACUCAACGUUUACCAAGACCAACGGAGAGGUAGAUCAACUCUACUGGGGAUAACCAGGAAAGGAUACAACCAUACGUCAGCGGACGUAAUGGGGAAAACUCAACGUUUACCGAAACCAACGGAGAGGUGAAUCAACUGGGACGACCAGGAAAAACUCGACGUUUACCAAGACCAACGGAGAGGUAAAUCAGCUGGGACGACCAGGGAAAACUCGACGUUUACCAAGACCAACGGAGAGGUAGCCAGACAUCAUCGGAUGAAUGGGAAGACUCGACCAGACGUCAUCGGACGAAAGGGAGACGCUCGACGUUUAUCGACACCAACGGAGAAGGAACUAAUUCUUCUGAAUGGCUUGCACUUGGGCAAAUGGCUAUGCAAUGCUAUGCAAUGGACCAGGUUAUGUUAAUGACCUAAUGUGAAAUGAAUGUACAAAAGGUAGGGUGCAAAUUUGAGGUGCUACAACUGCUGAGGGAUUAUAUUCUCUAGGUAAAACCUUGCCUAGUAAGAAACCAGCUGAUGUGUCUCAUGAAACUGCUGAGAAUGUUAUUGAUCUGGAGGAAGAAAGUUCUGAGGAAGAAGAUGACACCUUGGUCCAUCUUAUGAAACCAAGUGUAGCUAAGAAACUGAGGACCAGAAAAGUGAAGACUGUGGCUGAAAUGAGGACAGCAAGAAGAGGGAAAAAGGUUGUUGGUGUAGGACCCUCAAAAUCAUGGAGUAAAGUUGAGGUUAGGAAGAGAAAGGUAAGAGAGAGGUCUGACUCUGAAGAGGAUGUCGAAGAUGAUGUCCCAGACAUCUCCCCUUCUAAAAGGCAGGCUGUUAAAAAGUCCCCAGCCAAAGUGACAACUAUGCACUUAAACAAUAUCUCUUUUCAUCUAGAAGAUGGUGCUGCCAAAUGGAAGUUUGUCAUUCAGAGGAGGGUAGCUGUUGAAAGGGAGCUGGGAAAGGAGGCUGUAGAGGUGAAAGAAGUCAUGGAAUUAAUUAAGGCUACUGGUCUUAUGAAAAAUGUUGUUGGUUUACCCCAAUGUUUUGAGGGGUUAGUAAAAGAGUUUGUUGUAAAUAUCCCUGAGGAUAUUUCUAGAAAGAGUAGCAAGGAAUUCUGCAAGGUUUUUGUAAGAGGUAGAUGUGUGAGAUUCUCCCCAACUAUAAUCAACAAAUUCCUAGGGAGAGGAACUGAUGGAGGUGUGGAUUUAGAGGCUACGGACAAUGAAGUCUGUAGGACUAUUACUGCUGGCCAAGUUAAGGAAUGGCCUAAUAGGAAUCACCUAUUAGAUGACAAGCUAACUGUCAAAUAUGCCAUCUUACAUAAGAUUGGUUUAGCCAACUGGGUGCCUACUAAUCAUAUCUCAACCAUAUCCAUUGGUCUUGGAAGAAUCAUUUAUGCUAUAGGAACCAGGAUAAACUUUGACUUUGGAAGGUUUAUGUUUGAUCAAAUUGUCAGACAUGCCUCCACUAAUGCAGCGAAGUUGCCCAUUGCCUUUCCAUCUAUCAUCUGUGGAAUCAUCUUGAGCCAGCAACCAUGCAUUCUCAAUACAAGUGAUAUUCCUAGCAGAAGAAAGCCUCCAUUAUCCAUUCACUACAAACUGUUUGAAGGAAGCCAUGUCAAUGAUGUUGUCAUGACAUCUGGAAGAAAGGAGUCUGCCUCUCAAGGUAGCUUGAUUGAUUAGUUAAAGGAAACUUGCAAGGAGCUGGAUAAUGGUAUUAGGGUGGCCAAGGCAAGGAAAGAGGCUUUGGAGGUUCUUAUUGGUAGCUUAGAGAAGGAAGAGAUGGAGAAGGCUGGUGAGACCAAGGAUUCAGAGGCCAAUACCUCAAGUGAGAGGUCCAAUGCUCAAUCUAGUGGCAGCUCUGAUUCUGAAGGUGAAGAUGAUGUUACUUCCUCAGACUGAGUGGUAAUGGUUCCCCCUGUUUUGAAGACUGUUCUGGUGUGGCUGUUGUGUGUGCUGUUAUGGAAGCUGGUUCCCCUGCUGUUUUGGCUACUUUGGAUGCUGAAGAAUUUGUUGUUUUUUUGAAAUGUGUGUAAUUUGUGGCAGUCCUUACUGAUGCCUUUAUGUAAUAUUUGGACUCUUAAUGAGUUCCAUGGAUUUCUCAUUAUCUCAGCUGUCACAGUUGUGUAUGAUGAUGGUUUGUAUCUCCUAACAAUUAUGUUUUAACAUUUUAUAUGUUAUGACAUCUGUUGUGACAUUCUCUGAUAGGCUGAUUGACAUUUAUUUUGUCUAAUUGGUCACCUUUGGUCAAAAUUUUGACUAAAAAGGGGGAGAAGUGAUUAUGUGGAGCAGUUAAAGAUGUGGAGCUUUAAAGAUGUGAAGCUGUGUGGAGAUGUAUAUGCUGAUGUAGCUGAACUGAUGAACAUCUAUUAUUGAAUGAGAUGUGUUUGAUGUAAGACAAAAUGUUGUUCUAUUUACAAAUGUCAAAGGGGAUGUCUGAUGUUAUGUGGUGCACAAGUGAUGUUGAAGCAGAUGUCAUAAUGAUAUUCUGACUGUUACAGGUGAUGUGGUUACAUGUGCUGUUAUUAUUAAAGGAUAUGUUUGUGUUGGACAGACUUAGGGGGAGAAGAAGUACCCUUGUGCAUUUGUGUGUUUUACUAGUUGCUCCUAUAACUAGUAAUUCUAUGUUUGCUUCUGCUGCUGUUUAAAUUGUUGUUUAACUGCUGAUAGUUUUUCUUGAGAACAAAAAGGACAGAUAUAUGUUUUAGCCAAAAUUUUCCAAAGGGGGAGUUUGUUGGUUCUAACUGCUGGCAACAAUUUUGGUAAAACAAAGAGUGUUCAUAAGAUGUUGUAUUUGAUGUCUUAACAUAAGAUAUCUAUGUACCUGCUGGAGUUCAAGAACAUAAUUAUGCAGGAUUGUUUCAGGAUGUCAUACACAAUGUCAUGGCAUCUGAUACUAUGUACCUGCUGGAGUUCAAGAACAUAAUUAUGCAGGAUUGUUUCAAGAUGUCAUACACAAUGUCAUGGCAUCUGAUAUUAUGUACCUGCUGGAAAUUAUAAAAGGAAUUAUGCAAUUAUACAUGAUUGUUCCAGGAUGUCAGACCCGAUGUCAUGACAUCCUGUACAUAGAACAUUCAGGGUGAAUGUUAUGUGUUAUGUGAUUGCGCAUUUAAUGGCAAUCUAUGUAGGAUUGGAGAUCUGAUUUGCAGGCGCAUUCAAUCAUUGAUUACAACCUGAUUUACUUAUUUUCCAAAGAGAUCUAACCUGUUAGAAGGUGUGGCUAGUGAUCGAGAGGGGGGGUGAAUAGAUCACCUCUUCUAAAUUUAACGGAUUUGAAAUUUUAUCAGAGUUUUCAAAGUUGGUGGAAAAAUCAGUCCCGAAUCGACUUCUGUCUAUUCUGAACCGCUACUAGAAAGCCGGACACACAAGUUUAAUUGCUGGAUUUUAAUGAGAAUGACAGAACCAAUUCACACCAGAAUUAUAACUAAUUGAAUGCACUUAUCAUUAAAGUCUAUUUAGGGAAAGACAAUCCUCGCUGGGGAUGAACUCCAUCGAACCCGAACUGCUUGGCGAUUACCCUGCUAGGGGAGGCAACCCAUGCUUGUCUCUACUGGGGAUGAUCCUCCGAACCCGGCCUGCUUGGGGAACCUCGCUGAGGGAAGACCAUCAUCACAAACUCCGCUGGGAAGGCAGUAACCUUCAGACUUGCUGAGGAGCGACUGAUCUCAAAUCUGUUAGGGAGAUAACCCUCUCACACCCAUUGGGGAGACACAUCCUAUUGGGCACGGAACACCUGUCGAGUUGUCGAACAGCGGCAUCCAUCGUCCGCCCACAAUGUCAGCUUUCCACUUUUGAGAACUCCCAGACUCGUCUGGACUUUUCUGAUUCAUCCCACGAAGACCGAAAUCCUGGGAUUCAUACAAACUUUUCAGUCCUUAGACUUUGAAGAGUCUUCUUGGUUAACUUUCCAGGAUCGUCGUCGUAAUCCUGCAUCGUCCUUCCACUGUUCGUCUAACCACUUUGCCCCUGGUCAGGCUCUGCAGGGAUCUCUUUCGUCAGAAGGGUUCAUAUCACUACUUUCCAGCGAAUGAAGAUAUCUCACAGUGCUUGCACAAGAGAUUGUUAGAU